GACGAACGCUGGCGGCGUGCUUAACACAUGCAAGUCGAGCGGGAUCCAACCGGUGGCAACACCGGGGAAGAUCUAGCGGCGAACGGGUGAGUAACACGUGAGCAACCUGCCCCGAAGACUGGGAUAACACCGGGAAACCGGUGCUAAUACCGGAUGUCGUCAUUAGGCCGCAUGACCUGAUGAUGAAAGGAUUCAUCGCUUCGGGAGGGGCUCGCGGGCUAUCAGCUUGNGGUGGGGUAACGGCCUACCAAGGCGACGACGGCUAGCUGGUCUGAGAGGACGACCAGCCACACUGGGACUGAGACACGGCCCAGACUCCUACGGGAGGCAGCAGUGGGGAAUCUUGCGCAAUGGGCGAAAGCCUGACGCAGCGACGCCGCGUGAGGGAUGACGGCC
rnacentral:rRNA from 1 species